rnacentral:rRNA from 1 species
UGAGGAAUAUUGGUCAAUGGUCGGAAGACUGAACCAGCCAUGUCGCGUGCGGGAGUAAGGCUCUAUGGGUCUUAAACCGCUUUUAUACGGGAAGAAAACGUAUUAUGUAUAAUACACUGACCUAACCGUACGAAUAAGCAUCGGCUAACUCCGUGCCAGCAGCCGCGGUAAUACGGAGGAUGCAAGCGUUAUCCGGAUUUAUUGGGUUUAAAGGGUGCGUAGGCGGGCAAUUAAGUCAGUGGUGAAAUAUUUCGGCUCAACCGAACGACUGCCAUUGAUACUGAUAGUCUUGAGUAUGAUCGAGGGAAGCGGAAUGCGGCGUGUAGCGGUGAAAUGCAUAGAUAUGCCGCAGAACACCAAUUGCGAAGGCAGCUUUCCGGGUCACCACUGACGCUGAGGCACGAAAGCGCGGGUAUCAAACAGGAUUAGAUACCCUGGUAGUCCGCGCUGUAAACGAUGAUUACUGGUUGUUUGCGAUAUACAGUGAGCGACUGAGCAAAAGCAUUAAGUAAUCCACCU